GACAAAGGCAGCUCUGUGUCGCUGCUCCAGCCAGCGCUGUAAAGCAUGAGCCUGCAUCACACCUCCAGCCACGCACCGAGCACAGAGACACUCCAGGACUGAGGCACUACUGCUAAUGCACCAAAUGGAGGGCAGAGAGAAUGCCAUGCGGCUUUGAAUUUACCCUACCUAGAUUUUAAGGGUUUUGUUCCACAAUGACAGGCCUGUGGAUCAUCCCGAGAGUCCAGAUCCUGCUGUCCUGCUGCAGAAUCCUUCGCUCCUGGCUGACCACAGGGAGGUGGGCAAAGCUUUGCCUUCAGGGGGUGUGUGUGUGCCUCAGCAACGGAUAAUGAGCUGACAUUAGCCACAGAAGGGCUCGUCCAGCUCCUUUCUACCCCGAGGAUGCUUGUGCCAAGCGCAGCUUUCAUAUGGAAAGUGGUGCAUUGUUUAAAUGUAAAUGUUUCAAGAACAGCGAUUUGUGAGACAGGAAAAAUAAAAUCUCACCUGAGUUGAGUGGCACGGUCUGCUCACAGAGGUCCUUUUUUGCGUCACAGAUCUUGUUGUAGGACACUCUGCUCCCUCCAUCUCUUGGGUAGCUGUGGGAUUUAUUACACAGUUAAUUUAUCUAUAAAUAUAUACUCAUAAAUUUAUACUUGCCUGGUAAUCUCAUUUCUGUGCUGUUCCAUCUCUCCUGGCAAUCCCAUCUUCCCAGGAGGGGAGGAACCAGUGCCUCAACCAUGCCAGGAGCUUAAAUGGGCUCCUGGGCCCAUGGAGGGAAGUGGUGUGUGUGUUUGUGUGUAUGGUCCCAGAUGGAGCUGGU